rnacentral:misc_RNA from 1 species
AGAACAGCCAUCAGAAGGGUUCAAGCCACAUGCUUGAGAUCCAGGACAGAGAGAAAGUUGACAGUCAGUGUUAUUUUCUGGGGCAGCAUUCAAAAAAGUUUCAACCGAGGAAUCAAUUGCAGGUUUAGAAGAAGAAACUUCAGCACCAUUAUUGUCAUUAACUCCAUCACCAAUUGAAGAGGAAUCCAAAUUACCCUCCUCCAAGGAAACAUCUCCGUCAUCAAGACGUUUAAUAUCAGAAGUUUGCUUUAAAG